rnacentral:tRNA from 2 species
UGGAGUGUAGCUCAGUCGGUAGAGCAGGUGACUGUUAAUCACCGGGUCGCAGGUUCGAGUCCUGCCUCUCCAG